rnacentral:rRNA from 1 species
UACGUAGGGGGCAAGCGUUGUCCGGAUUCAUUGGGCGUAAAGAGCGUGUAGGCGGCCUGAAAGGUCAGCUGUGAAAACUCGAGGCUCAACCUCGAGACGUCGGUUGAAACCAUCUGGCUAGAGUCCGGAAGAGGAGUGUGGAAUUCCCGGUGUAGCGGUGAAAUGCGCAGAUAUCGGGAAGAACACCAAUGGCGAAGGCAGCUCGCUGGGACGGUACUGACGCUGGGGAGCGAAAGCGUGGGGAGCGAACGGG